CCUGCAAAGACAGAACGACCCGCGAACCGGUGAAAUAACCACCCGGGGGAGGGAGACCUCUCCUCUCCCCCGGAGUCCUUGGCGGAGGUCGUGGGCGCUUGAAACUCGCGACAUCCGCCACGGGCAAAAACUAACAAACCCCCGGCGCGAGUCGCGCCAAGGAAAACUUCGGAAAGAUGAGCUCUCCUCGUCCCGGGAACGGUGCGUUGGGAGUGACAUCGUCGUUAUCAUAUUUCAAACGACUCUCGGCAACGGAUAUCUCGGCUCUCGCAUCGAUGAAGAACGUAGCGAAAUGCGAUACUUGGUGUGAAUUGCAGAAUCCCGCGAACCAUCGAGUUUUUGAACGCAAGUUGCGCCCGAAGCCGUCAGGCCGAGGGCACGCCUGCCUGGGUGUCACGAAAAAGCCGUCAAACGUCCCUUCCUCGCCCCUCCGGACGAGGGGCGGCGAGGGACGACGGAAGUUGGCCUCCCGUGCGCACGAUCGCGCGCGCGGCUGGCCCAAAGAGUAGGUCUGCCCGCGAGGCGCCCACGACACGCGGUGGUUGUAAGCGCACGCUUCUCCUCGAACACCGUCGUGGGCCUGCCCCGUUCACGGGGAGCCAAAGACCCCGACGCGGAGCGUCAUCGCAGAGCGACCCCAGGUCAGGCGGGACCACCCGCUGAGUUUAAG
rnacentral:rRNA from 1 species